UCGAGCGAACAGACGAGGAGCUUGCUCCUCUGACGUUAGCGGCGGACGGGUGAGUAACACGUGGAUAACCUACCUAUAAGACUGGGAUAACUUCGGGAAACCGGAGCUAAUACCGGAUAAUAUAUUGAACCGCAUGGUUCAAUAGUGAAAGACGGUUUUGCUGUCACUUAUAGAUGGAUCCGCGCCGCAUUAGCUAGUUGGUAAGGUAACGGCUUACCAAGGCAACGAUGCGUAGCCGACCUGAGAGGGUGAUCGGCCACACUGGAACUGAGACACGGUCCAGACUCCUACGGGAGGCAGCAGUAGGGAAUCUUCCGCAAUGGGCGAAAGCCUGACGGAGCAACGCCGCGUGAGUGAUGAAGGUCUUCGGAUCGUAAAACUCUGUUAUUAGGGAAGAACAAAUGUGUAAGUAACUAUGCACGUCUUGACGGUACCUAAUCAGAAAGCCACGGCUAACUACGUGCCAGCAGCCGCGGUAAUACGUAGGUGGCAAGCGUUAUCCGGAAUUAUUGGGCGUA
rnacentral:rRNA from 1 species